rnacentral:lncRNA from 1 species
AGGAAGUCUCUGCUCUUUCUCCUCUCCACUCUUUCUUCUCUGUGUGUUUUGGUUAGUCAACUGCUAGCUACCAGUGACAGUGAUAGAUAAGGACAUACAGCCAGAGGAAACAGUCAUACAACGCCUUAACAAGAUGUCUAGUGGUCCCUUCUCCUGCUUCUCCAAACAGGAAAUAUUCCUUCUCCAACCUCCACUAUGGUUCUUGUUGCAACAGAAUAUUCUGGCCCCACCAGCCCCAGAUGACCAACCUGGACCCCCAACAGGACCAACGAUCUACCCAGGGCCGAGCUCCUGAUGCUGGGUAUACAUGUCUGCAGCAUGGUCAGUCUCUCAGCCCAGACCACUGUCACUCUACUCUCUCUGUAACUGCACACACUUGUCACAGUGACUUUUCAAUAUGCACUUUGUAUACAACAUGGUACCGUACUCUAUGACCCUGGGCAAGCUGAGGGAAAACCAACCAAGUAAUCUUUCUCUCUCUUCUUUGACCAACAGGUGGCACCAACCUCUAUGAUACAAUCACUUCCUCAGACAAUAAUGACAGUGAUGCUGGUGCUGCUACUGCUGGAUCAAGUGAUGUGAUGUACGCCCAGAUUCAACUCAAAAAGUUGGGCAAGAAAAAGAAAAAAACCCCACAUCAGGCAGAUUCGGUCUAUUCUCAAGUGAAUCCAGUCACAGCCCCAAGUCCUUGAGGGAUGGAGGGAGGGAAGGAUAGAGAGAAGGAUGGAGGGACACACAAACAGAGCAGAAGCAGAAGGAUACCUGGGAAGGAUUAUUCACGCUCAACGUUCUGUUGUCUCCAUCUCUCUGCUGCCCAGGCUGCUGUGUGGUCUACUGGUGGUGUCUCCCUUUCUACUGGUGUCUAUUGUGCUGAUGAUGAAAUGUUGCAGGGCUCGAGGCUUGUGUUCAACACCCAAAUCUCCUCAAGACGAGUUACGAUCAGAUGUCAUCAAACAGACUGAAUCAUCCAUUUGAUCAUUACAAUAUGAACUGUCAGCUGAAAAAACAUGUUUAUGAUUUUGAAGUUUUUGCUAUUGCCUUGCCAUUGAUUUAUGAUUGUGUUUACUGAGUUUAAUAUCUGAAUGUUAUGAUUUUGUAGGUUGACAAUUUCAGCUUUUGGUGGCUUGUGUCCCUUCCUUUGUUAUUGUUAAAUGUUUUCGAUUUUUUUAUUAUAUUGCACUUACCUCUCUUUAACUUCUGUUAAUUUAACAAGUGUAGUGCCUGUUUUUAUUUCAAGGCCCAGUGCAACAAAAAAACAUGAUUUUCC